CCUACGGGAGGCAGCAGUGAGGAAUAUUGGUCAAUGGACGAGAGUCUGAACCAGCCAAGUAGCGUGAAGGAUGACUGCCCUAUGGGUUGUAAACUUCUUUUAUAUGGGAAUAAAAUGUUCCACGUGUGGGAUUUUGUAUGUACCAUAUGAAUAAGGAUCGGCUCACUCCGUGCCAGCAGCCGCGGUAAUACGGAGGAUCCGAGCGUUAUCCGGAUUUAUUGGGGUUAAAGGGAGCGUAGGUGGAUUGUUAAGUCAGUUGUGAAAGUUUGGGGCUCAACCGUAAAAUUGCAGUUGAAACUGGCAGUCUUGAGUACAGUAGAGGUAGGCGGAAUGCGUGGUGUAGCGGUGAAAUGCUUAGAUAUCACGAAGAACUCCGAUUGCGAAGGCAGUUCACUGGACUGCAACUGACACUGAGGCUCGAAAGUGUGGGUAUCAAACAGGAUUAGAUACCCCUGUAGUC
rnacentral:rRNA from 1 species